GGGAAUUUUGAGGGUAGAAGUUACGAGAAGCUGCUUGUCUGUCGGCAAGCAACCUGCUGCAGGCACAACAUAGUAAUAGCGAACACUUCAUAGCACCUACUAUGUGCCAUUCACGACUUUUGGACCCUGUGUGUGUCGAUUGCUUUAAUCUGCACCACCGCCCUGUGAAGUGUGCCAUCACUACCCCCGUUUUCCAGAGGAGGGAAUGCAAGCAUUGAGAGACGAGGAAGUUCGUCUGUGCAGCAGCACCAUUCAUCGCCAGCCCACAGCUGUUGUUUCUACAUCUUACAAACGGAACAGAGCUACUGGAUGACUUUGUGCUCCAGUGGCGGGAAGCUCCUCCCCAGCCCUAAGGAAUUACCCAUCGCCCCACUGCUGUGAUUGCAGAGAGACAGGCAGGAAGGGCCACGGGGUGAGGAAGGCAGCGAAGGACUAGCUAUUCG